rnacentral:tRNA from 1 species
UGGAGUAUGACUCAAUUGGUAGAGUGUCAGCUUUGCAAGCUGAAAGUUAUUGGUUCAAAUCCAAUUACUUCCA